AAAAUUCAAACAAAUAAUAAGAAUUCUUAAAGAAAUAUUAGAAGGAUCAUAAAUAUCACUCAAAUACAUCUCAAUUCAAUCUUAAUUUAAUUCUAAUUAAAAUCCUAUUGAACUUCAUUCAAACUUUAGGCCAAACCUAAUUAAAUCUUAAAUCCUAAUAAAAUCCUAAAUCCUAAAUCAAAUCCUAAACAAACCUUAAACCAAACUCUAAUUAAAUCCUAAUCAAAUCCUAAACCAAAUCCUAAACCCUAAAUCAAACCCUAACCAAAUCCUAAUCCAAAUCCUAAAUCCUAAAACAAAUCUUAAACCAAACCCUAAAUCCUAAAACAAAUCUUAAAGCAAAUCCUAAAUCCUAACCAAACUCUAAUCAAAUCCUAAUCAAAUCCUAAACCAAAUCCUAAACCCUAAAUCAAACCCUAACCAAAUCCUAAUCCAAAUCCUAAAUCCUAAAACAAAUCUUAAACCAAACCCUAAAUCCUAAAACAAAUCUUAAAGCAAAUCCUAAAUCCUAACCAAACUCUAAUCCAAAUCCUAAAUCCUAACCAAACUCUAAUCCAAAUCCUAAAUCCUAAAUCAAAUUCUAAUCCAAACCCUAAAUCCUAAACCAAACCCUAAAUCAAAUCCUAACCAAACCCUAAAUCAAAUCCUAACCAAAUCCUAAACCCUAAAUAAAAUCCUAACCAAAUCCUAAACCAAAUCCUAAUCCAAAUCCUAAAUCCUAAACCAAAUCCUAAUCAAAUCCUAAAUCCUAAAUAAAUCCUAAAAAAAUCCUAAACCAAACCCUAAACCCUAAAUCAAAUCCUAAUCCAAAUCCUAAAUCCUAAACCAAACCCUGGUAAUUCCUAUAACAGAUUUAAACCUCAAUAACUAAUGAAUGAACUGUUGAUUUUAACUCAAAUUUUUUACACUUCUAAACAAAUAAGUUAAAAACAAGUACAAAAAAAUUAAAAAGGAUCGGAGUUAUCAAAUUGAUGAUAACCUCAAAAAUGUGCUCGAAUAUUGGCCGACCUCCUUCUCCAUGUUUGAUACCAAUCUUCCAGAGCCAAUAUCUCUCUUUUUCACCAUUCGAUUGUUUUAAAAAUUCUCACAUACAUAGAAAAUUAAGUCUAAUAUCCUUUCACAUAAGUUUUACUCCAAUCCAAUUAGUAGAUUGCAAGGAAACUUAAAAACCCCCACUAGACCUAAAAUUCUACUUUCUGAGACCUUGACCCUCCUAAACCUCAAUAUUCCUCAAUUCAACCGUUAGAUCGAGCUCAAAUUCAUAACACAUAUGAAACAUAACUAUAACCAUAAACCCAAAAAAUUUCACCCAUAGAUCUAUUACAAAACUCUUGAAAUCACCCAAAACGUAAAAUCUUGUAUUAUUUCAUAAAAUCCAAGUCAUCUGAAACAAACCUUGAUUUUGCAAAGCUCUUACAAAGUCAAAAAAAAUCUAAAUCAUCCAAAAUCAAUGCCCAUAGAAACCCCAUCCAAUCUUCUAUCAAACCUCAUUCUUCGAUCUGCCAAAGAGUCCUGGAGUCGUCAUUGAGACUCGGUUUCAUGCCUCAUGGUCUGAUUUCGACCCUGGUUCAUAACCGGCCCUCUCCAAGUAUCAACAUCUAGUUUUUUUAAGUAAUUUUUACUAGAAUUCACUCUUAACUUUCUCUUGAAGAUGUCUAUAUCAUUUAUUUUUCCAAUCUAUCUUAUUUUACCUUAUUUUUGGUCCUACAAAGUAAGUAGAAGCUAUUUUUUCUAAAAGGGCAGCAUUACUACUAAAAGUUUUACUACCUUCCUAUCUUUUAUCCAUAUUUUUCUACCUUUUCUUUUAACUUGGCUCUUCUAUAAUAAGAUCUAUAUUUUUAUCUUUCACCAUAUAGUCAUGUUAAAAUACGACAAUAUAUUCUUCAAGCUCGUCAUGACUUU
rnacentral:lncRNA from 1 species